CAGAAGUCCAUGUAUUCUAGGAGCAAAGCUAUGGCCAAGACUCAGAAGAGAAAGAGAUCCUGCUGCUGAAAGGAAAGGGUUACCAACUCUGUAAAUGGCCAGCAGUACAGCAGCCUGGGUGAGGACCACUCCAGCCCCAAAAUGAGCUUCUGUCUACCCCAGUGGUGUUUCAGAUGCUUGUAUGCAUAAGGAGUCAUGUCUGUGGGCCAGGGGGCUCAACUACGCAAGCACAGACUGCUGCACAUCCAGACUGUGGGAUUUGAGAAGCAUCAGCAAAACAACAAACCUCGCAAAAAGGCUUCAGAAAAUAGCAUGGCCUUUAAUUGGCAAUAUUACUAAUAGAAAAAAUAAA